CGAACGCUGGCGGCGUGCCUAAUACAUGCAAGUCGAACGGUCUUUCUAUGGAAGCUUGCUUCCACUGAGAAGAUAGUGGCGAGCGGGUGAGUAACACGUGGGUAACCUGCCCAUAAGAGGGGGAUAACAUCCGGAAACGGGUGCUAAUACCGCAUAGUUUUCUUGAUUGCAUGAUUGAGAAAGGAAAGACGGCCUUUGUGCUGUCGCUUAUGGAUGGACCCGCGGCGUAUUAGUUAGUUGGUGAGGUAACGGCUCACCAAGACGAUGAUACGUAGCCGACCUGAGAGGGUGAUCGGCCACAUUGGGACUGAGACACGGCCCAAACUCCUACGGGAGGCAGCAGUAGGGAAUCUUCCGCAAUGGACGAAAGUCUGACGGAGCAACGCCGCGUGAGUGAAGAAAGGUUUUCGGAUCGUAAAACUCUGUUGUCAGAGAAGAACAAGUUGGAGAGUAACUGCUCCAGCCUUGACGGUAUCUGACCAGAAAGCCACGGCUAACUACGUGCCAGCAGCCGC
rnacentral:rRNA from 1 species